rnacentral:lncRNA from 10 species
GGACAAUGUGCUUUCUCAAGUCUUUUCCAAUUCCACACCCCAUGACUGUGGAAAAGCAGAACAUCCAGGUAGUUGACAUGCCACAUUUUUAUGAUAGGGAGGUCCUUUCCUUCCACCCCAGAUCUUUCACUCUAUGUUUCUCUACAUCUUCGAAACCCAAGCAAUAGUCAAGUCCUAAUCGUGCCAUCAGCAGGACUCACUUAAACAAGAUGGAAGAGAAAGACAAAAAUUCUCCUUAAUCCCAGUUGAUAUGUGACUUUGCUUAGCACUUUGAAUAUUAUUAAGUGUUUGAAUUUCUUCCUGUGUCUUUUUCACCGAGAUGACUGUCUUUCUGUUUCGUUGACAGCCUCUGCAGGACCAAAUUGACAGCUCUUUAAAGGCGGCUGACGAAAAGCAGCAUUAAUUAAGUCAUUGCCGGACUGUAAUUGUGUUAAGAAGUAAAAAUCUAAUACGAGAAAAGAGUCAUUUACUGAGGACCCAAUGGCUUGUGUCCUGUGACGGAUGGAAGCUGGAGGCUUGCAAAUACCAACCAGGUUGUGUGAAUCAUUUUCAAAGCCUUUGCUCUGUUCCCGCACUAUCAUCUGCAUAUUUUAUGAAAUGGCACGGUUGAGUCUCGGAGGGCUCUUGAUAAAAAUGGAACUGGCAGCCUGCUCAUUAGCUGUUUACCUGGAGCUGUGUGAGCCCCCGAUAAUGGCGAGCUCCCAUUUGGAUUCGAAUUAGGAUUCUCUGACGAAUCACCACCAGCAGCUUUCUCCAGGACGUCCGCUCCUCCUCCGGUGCCUCUCUCUCCCCAUCGCAGAGAGUUUCCAGGAAACUUGCUUUUGGGGGCUGUCCUAGGGAACGUUACACCCUGGCAUCUGAGGCAGUUUAAUUUUUGAAGCGGAGACACAGAAGCUUUAGCAAAUUAGCACCUCUAAGGAUGGCAAAAUUCCCCUGAAAGGACACAUUCUGAAGGUCUGGUUGGUUGACCUUCCAGAGCUUUACAGAUGCCAGAAGUCAAUUCCCUGCUAUAACGAGGUGACCAGUUGUCCCACUUUGCCUGGGACUGCAGAUCCCCAGAGCAUGAAACUUACCAUUUUGAAAUCAGGAAAGUUCCAGGCAGUUGAAGAUGGGUUGGUCACCUUCGCUGUAACUCACUUGAGGGCUUGUAUCAUGUUGUCAGUCUCUGAAGUAGAUGGGAAGAUCUUCAGUGGCUUUUACAAACGGGCUGAGCCACUUCUGUGAUUUACCAAGAGGACUUAGAGAAGAGCACAGGCCAUAGCCCUGUGGUCUUACAAGGUUGGCUUGAAAACCAGAACUGUUUUGAUGGACUUAUAGCUUGCACUUAAAAAUCAGGAAAUUCGUAUGUAAAAAUGCAGGAUUUCUGCCUCUCUUUGAAAACCAAAGACAUGGCUCUGCGAUGUGCCCAUUCUUUUUAGAAAUGAUUGAUCAGUUGGAGCCAAACAGGGACUAUCCCUUUAUAUGGGGCAUCCGCUUUCCGGUUUUAUAACCCUCCCUUUAUUGCCCCCAGCUGGAUCCAUUCAUUCUGUGUACCUAUUUGGUUUCAGUUUGCAUCUGAUUUUGUGCUUCUGGAUAGAAGUUGAGAGCACUGGCUUUGCAGUAAGAUUCAAGUCUCAGUUCUAUUAUCUUUUAGCUGCCUGACCUUGGCCAAGAUAAACAAACACACUUGGUCUCAGUUCUCUCACCUGUAACUUGAGAAUAAUAAAAGUAUACUAGUAUAGCAAUAUCUUAUUAUAAAUAUUACAUUAAGUAAGAUAUGUACAUUGAAGAAAUGCAUAUAAAUGGCUUAGAAUGGGCCUGGAUAGUAAGUAUUCAUUAAAAGUGCUUGGUUUUUUUCUUCUUAUUAUUUUAUUAUUAUUACCUUUACAGAAAAAUGAACUGAAACCCAGAAUUCCCUGGUGAGCUACUUAAUAUAUAAAUAGACACUAUGUGAACACAAAGAAUAAAAGAAUAUUACUGGCAUUAAAAUAUUUUGUAUUUUAUAAUGUAUCUUGGAACCAAAUAUUGAGGUAUACUCAAAGCAAUUCCAGGUGACCACCUGUGUAAUUAAUGAGGCAAUUGACAAAGCUACAGGAAACAAAACAUUCCGUUUUUUAUGUACAGAUAAUCUUGUCUUCCUUUUUGCAUUAGUAAAUCCUCCAACACCUUUUUGAAUUCCAUAAACCUAUACUUUUUAUACAGAGUGAAUUCCUUUGUAGUAGAAUCUGUUUCCUUAAGAUUUCCUCCUGCUGAAAUGAUUUUAUCCUAUAGCAGCCUUGUGUUACUGGGGAUUUUAUGGCCAGGCAAAAGUGAUAUACUAUUAAUACCUUGGAUUUACACAGCAAUUGUUCUUUUGAAUAGUGCAGAGGUACUAGACGAUUCUCAAAUAUAUGGUAUUUGAUAUUAAUGAGGAAGAUGUUAUACCACAGGAAACAAUUGUUUAUUUUUUUAAUGUUUCCCCCUUCUCUUUUAAAACAGACUCCUGUAACACUACAUGCUCAGAGUUUUUCUAAGGAGAUAUUUGGGAAGCGCUAUUGUUGCGUGAAAAGUAUUUUUGAUUCUGGGUCAUUGAAACCUGGAUUUGAAUCCCUGGUCCCUGAUGCUCUCUGGGCCUGGCACCCACAGAAUGCUUAUUUUUGAAGAGAGUUGAAUAAAGGGACUCUCUACAAAGCUGUGGACAGGAUCUAGGGAAUAUGCCAGGAAUAAUGGAGCACCUGAGGGGUGGUAACAGAGGGGCUCUUUCACUACCUUUACAACUGAAGGGGCAAGGGGAAGGAGAGAUGACCGGACUUAGGAGACAAAGGGCUGUGUGGAGAGGGCUGCCCUGUCACAAGAGGGUCCCAGUUGGCUUGUUAUGACCCCUUGGGGUGGGAUCAAGGGGGAAAAACAUGCUGAGAUCACACAGUCCUUCUUCCUUCUAAUUUCCUGGCAGAAUUCCCCGUUGGUCAAACCCAACCAGAAGCUUCAGAAAAAGGAACAUAAUCUUUGUGGGAGUUUGUACUGCUUACCCUCUCAGGACACAGAGAGCAUGCAGACAGUACAGGAGGAAAUGGAACAAACCCAAAGUCACCAGAUGUCUCUGAACAAGUUGUUCAACUUCUCUGAGACUCUCUCAGACUGAGUUUACUUCUUAGUAAAUAAAGCUACAUAAUACCUACCUCAGAGUGUUGUGAGAGAAUGAAAUGAGAUAAUACAUACAUUAUCUGGCACAGUCCCUUGGCACAUAGUAGGUCUUUCUGAGAAGCAUGAAACAGGUUAGUGCUUUGCCCAGGCCAUUUCAUCUUCAAGGCAACAUGAGUUGAGAAAGGCUUGGGUGCUAGAAGCUUUGUGAAAAUGUUUGAGCUCUGAAAAUUCAAGUCAUGAUUUCAAAAUAUAAAAUUAGUCUCAACAAUAGUCAAAUCUCUAAUUGAUUUUAUAUGAAGUAUAAUCAUAUGUCAACGAAUCUAACUUUAACCUACUCUUACUUAGUUCUAUAUAAUUAAAAAGUGGGAUGUGUUUGCUGUUAUGCUGGCACUUAUAAAGUUUUCAGUUCAUCUGUUUCACAUACUGGUUUUCCCUUGGAAGGUUAUGUUUAAAAAGCUCUCUGUAAAUUGUCAUCUCAAUGUUGUUGAGUGAAUAAAAUAGCCUAGCUCUAGCUAGAAGGAAUGUGAAAGAAAAUAUAGACUCAGCAAGAAAAUUUUUUAAAACUUGUGGUCUAUAGGUCAUACUCAGUCUUACGAUCCUUUCAUGUGUAAAUUUAAAUUUUGUAAAGAAUUUUUAAUUUAAAAAUUAGAAAUCAAAAUAUUUUAAAAAGAAAUCAACUUACUAUACUUCAUUGAUUGCAUAAAAAUACUUUUUCUGUCUAUAUUUUAACUUCUCAGAAAUAAAGAUGCAUCUUAAGCAAUGAUAUCUUAGACUUGAUGAGAUACAGUGGUGACUAGCAUUAAAACAUCAUGAGAUUUCAUGUAGAAACUGAUAUUUCCAGUUUCAAAAAGCUGGAUGGUCUCUCAGCCUUGGACCUGGCACUCAUACAGCCCCUGUGGUGGAAGGGCCUAGCUCUGAGCUCUUGAAAGAGGAUGAUGGCUCUCAGAGACACCUCAUCCUUACCCAUGUCUUCUCUGCUUUUUGGAAUUUGAGGAACCUCAUCUACCAGCCUCCAACUUGGGCUCUGGACCUGUAAGAAGCCCUUAUAGGAAGGAAUAGAGAUGCAUGGGCUGAUUUUAACAUUACAGUCCACUAAUGGGCGUUUUACCCAGGGUAAAUCAACAAAUCAAGUGUUGGUUCGCUUGAGUGUAAUAAUAGUGGUUCUCUCCUAAUCAGAAAGUUCUGAUUAGCAGUUGAUGAGCAAAUAGAAAUAGCAAUAAAAUAAGAGGUGAGGGGCAUGAGGUCCAUCAUGUAGUAAAUGGAGUGUGACAGAUAGGCAUGGAUCUCUUGGGAGGAGAGACAAAGGGGAAGGGAAAGGGAGUCCUUGGCAGUGGAAACAGAGGGAAAUGUCACUCCAGGGACAUUUAGUGACCUGUCCAGAAAAGCAAAUGGCUAACUAGGAAGUAGCAGUUCUCUAGACAUUCAGUCCAGUAUUCUUUGCUUUCAAACUUCAUUCUUUGCAGUCAAACUUAUUGAAAAAAUAUGUUCAAACUCUAUAGACAAACACUCUCUAACAAAAUGACUUUCGGAGAAGAGAUUUUCUCUCUUUCAUCUGGGUAUACACCAGCAAAAGACCUGAAUAAAAUCAACCCUGCUACAUUCUUCGUGUAGAAUAUUCCUAAAAUAUGUUUGAAGAUAUUAGGGGUUUUCCUCCCAGCAUUAUUAUUUCUCAUGGAAAAUCCUUUCUAUAUCCUAUUUUAGAUUAUGUGCUAUAAUAUACUUGGUAGAUUAUAGAUAACAUCUCUUUUUUUCUGAGAUUGCACAUUUGAAAAUUUGAGAUUACAAUAAACUCUGUGUGCGACAGUGACCAGAGACAUGGAGAUAAUGUAUGUGAAUAUUCUUUAAGCUCUUUGACUGAAAGACAUGUUACAAAUAUGAGCAAUUAUUCGAUACUAUAUUUGAAAAAAUAUAGAUCAUCCAAUCUUGCAAAUAAAAGAUAAUUCCACAGAUGAUGUUCUCUAUGUCACUUUUCUAAUCUUAAAUACUUGAAGUGAAGAAGCUUCCAGGCCUCCGCUUGUAUGACUGUUUCACAAUCUAAUUGAUCUCACUGUCUGAAUUGUCCUUUCUUAAUUUCUCUGCAUUACUCAUUUACUGUGCUCACUGUUCAGAUAUCUGCGAGAGGUAGCAGGCCUCCCCCCAACCUUAGUCAAUUAGACAAGCUAUUGUUUCUGAUUAAGAUAUCACAUCCCGGAGAAUAAUAGCAAUUAGAGUU